GAUGAACGCUGGCGGCGUGCCUAAUACAUGCAAGUCGAGCGAACAGACGAGGAUCUUGCUCGUCUGCAGUUACCGGCGGGCGGGUGAGUAACACGUGGAUAACCUACCUAUAAGACUGGGAUAACUUAGGGAAACCGGAGCUAAUACCGGAUAAUAUAUUGAACCGGAUGGUUCAAUAGUGAACGACGGAUUUGCUGACACUUAUAGGUGGAUCCGGGCCGGAUUAGCUAGUUGGUAAGGUAACGGCUUACCAAGGCAACGAUGCGUAGCCGACCUGAGAGGAUGAUCGGCCACACUGGAACUGAGACACGGUCCAGACUCCUACGGGAGGCAGCAGUAGGGAAUAUUCCGCAAUGGGCGAAAGCCUGACGGAGCCACGCCGCGUGAGUGAUGAAGGUCUUCGGAUCGUAAAGCUCUGUUAGUAGGGAAGAACAAAUGUGUAAGUAUCUAUGCCCGUCUUGACGGUACCUAAUCAGAAAGCCACGGCUAACUACGUG
rnacentral:rRNA from 1 species